rnacentral:rRNA from 1 species
UACGUAGGCAGCGAGCGUUGUUCGGAUUUACUGGGCGUAAAGGGUGUGUAGGCGGUUGCUUAAGUUUGGUGUGAAAUCUCCCGGCUCAACCGGGAGGGUGCGCCGAAUACUGAGUGACUAGAGUGCGGGAGAGGAAAGUGGAAUUCCUGGUGUAGCGGUGAAAUGCGUAGAUAUCAGGAGGAACACCGGUGGUGUAAACGGCUUUCUGGACCAUAACUGACGCUGAGGCACGAAAGCGUGGGUAGCAAACAGG